rnacentral:lncRNA from 1 species
UCACAGACCAGAGGGGUGGGUCGGUCACAGACCAGAGAGGUGGGUCAGUCACAGACCAGAGGGGUGGGUCGGUCACAGACCAGAGAGGUUGGUUGGAAGAGAGGUGGUUUGGUAGAGAGGUGGUUGGGUAGAGAGGUGGGUCAGUCACAGACCAGAGGGGUGGGUCGGUCACAGACCAGAGAGGUGGGUCAGUCACAGACCAGAGGGGUGGGUCAGUCACAGACCAGAGGGGUGGGUCGGUCACAGACCAGAGAGGUUGGUUGGAAGAGAGGUGGUUCGUUAGAGAGGUGGUUGGGUAGAGUGGUGGGUCAGUCACUGACCAGAGGGGUGGGUCGGAAGAGAGGUGGUUCGGUAGAGAGGUGGUUUGGUAGAGAGGUGGUUUGGUAGAGAGGUGGGUCAGUCACAGACCAGAGGGGUGGGUCGGUCACAGACCAGAGAGGUGGGUCAGUCACAGACCAGAGAGGUUGGUUGGAAGAGAGGUGGUUCGGUAGAGAGGUGGUUUGGUAGAGAGGUGGGUCAGUCACAGACCAGAGGGGUGGGUCGGUCACAGACCAGAGAGGUGGGUCAGUCACAGACCAGAGGGGUGGGUCGGAAGAGAGAUGGUUCGUUAGAGAGGUGGUUUGGUAGAGAGGUGGGUCAGUCACAGACCAGAGAGGUGGGUCAGUCACAGACCAGAGAGGUUGGUUGGAAGAGAGGUGGUUCGUUAGAGAGGUGGUUGGGUAGAGUGGUGGGUCGGUCACAGACCAGAGAGGUGGGUCAGUCACAGACCAGAGGGGUGGGUCAGUCACAGACCAGAGAGGUGGGUCAGUCACAGACCAGAGAGGUGGGUCAGUCACAGACCAGAGAGGUGGGUCGGAAGAGAGGUGGUUGGGUAGAGAGGUGGUUUGGUAGAGAGGUGGUUUGGUAGAGAGGUGGGUCAGUCACAGACCAGAG